GCGUGAGUGAUGAAGGCCUUAGGGUUGUAAAGCUCUUUCGCACGCGACGAUGAUGACGGUAGCGUGAGAAGAAGCCCCGGCUAACUUCGUGCCAGCAGCCGCGGUAAUACGAAGGGGGCUAGCGUUGUUCGGAAUUACUGGGCGUAAAGGGCGCGUAGGCGGCCUGUUUAGUCAGAAGUGAAAGCCCCGGGCUCAACCUGGGAAUAGCUUUUGAUACUGGCAGGCUUGAGUUCCGGAGAGGAUGGUGGAAUUCCCAGUGUAGAGGUGAAAUUCGU
rnacentral:rRNA from 1 species